AUUGGAUCGCAAAGUCGAGUUGUAUUUUGCCACUGCUUUGUUUUUUGUUUUUUUGGUUUUUUUUAAGAAAGAUAGCACGCUAUCUGCUUCAUUCAUUUAGCAGAUAAAUUUAGUUAUAGCGGUUGAGGUAACGCAGCCUCGAAAAAUAUUGAAGGCAACCAAAACAAAAAAAAAAAUAAAAUAAAAAAACUAAAAUAAAAAAAACUACAAAAAUUGAUACUUAUACUCCUCACUCAAAACCAAGACAUUAAAAGCUGCAAAACUCAAUCCAUUACUUACUCACGUCUCGUAUUUGUCUAAUAGUCAAAAAGGGGCAAAUGAUUGGCUUCUAAAAAUAAUAUUAUUUUUUUCCCGUCAAAUCGAUUCACCAACAGAUUACGAUCCUGGUUAGAUCUCUUACAGCUGCCCCUUGGCGGCGGUCCCCAGCUAGAAGCUCUCAAAUACUCCUGACCUCCAUCUCAGGCUCUGGAAUGUGCCCACUUUCUAGGAUGUUGUACAUGAAAAAUUUGCUGAUUGCGCAUCCAACCAGCAGAUGAUCAACAGUCUCUAAAUCGUUGCCGUAUAUCACGCACUGUUGAUUCUCAGACCAGCCUCUUUUGAGUAAGUUAUCAAUAGUAGGUAGGCGUUUCUUAACUGCUAACCAAAUAAAAAAUGCUAACUUUAGAUGAUAUUUUCAACUCCCAAACCUUUAGCAAAAAAAAAAUCUCAAACUCUCCCUUCUCGGAUCAGUACAUAUAUUGACUUAACGGUGAUAUAUCUUCUAGCGUUCCCUCUUCAUCAAAUGUCCUCACGCCUGUCUAUCACCACUGCUUUGUUGAGUUUGCAAGAAUUUGUUGGCUUGCACAGGGGAAAAAAAACUUAAAUAAUUUAUAUUUAGAUUUUAAGGCCUCUAAAUCUUUGUGUUUUGAAUUCCUCUUACAUGCUGCAGUCCCUGCAGUUUUUUUUUUUCCAUUUUAUUAUUCAUUUUAUUUUGGAUAAAUUUCAAGUAUCACUCCUAUAGUUUUGUGCUUUCUCACUUUAUUACUAUGUGCUUUAAAGUGUAUCAUUUUAAUAUUCAGUGGUUUUAUUUGUCUCUUUUCGCCAUCACCUCCAUUAACUUUUCGUUAAAUCAUAUGCAAAAUAUUUCAGAUACUCCACCUAUGGUUUAUCAAAUAUUCACUUUAAUAUUCUAUAAUUUACCGAAUUUUUACUUUAGUAUCCUGUGGUUUUAAUUUCGUCAUUAAUUUAGAAAAAAAAAAUUAAUAGAAAAAUAAUUUUUAAAAAAGAUCAUAAGAUACGAAAGUGAUAUAUUUUAAAUCACGGGAUAGUAUUUCUUUUAUUUUUCUGAGUUAGGAAAAA
rnacentral:lncRNA from 1 species